UUUCCUGUACAGCUGCAGUUCGUGUGGUGAAGGUGCUCCCACAAUGUGGUUGGGUCACCGUACAGCCUCUGACGCUCCAGGGAAAACAGCCUAUCCAACCCUGGCAACAUCCUGGACUUCUUUUCGGACCCCUUUCAAGUUUGAGAACAUCCAUCUGACAGGAAGGAGACCAGAAUUGCAUGGAAUAUUACAAAAGUUGCCGAAUCAAUGUCCAGUACAGUCGCAAUAUGACCUCCCAACCCCUACACUCAAUGCUCUUACCAAUAAAGACAAGCAGACCAACUGCCGCCUUCACUAA